GGCUGGAUGGAGGAAGGGACGAGGGAGAGCGUGAGACAGAAAUGGGCAAUGAAAGAGAGGAAAGGUUUGGGGAGGAGAGACGGAGAUGGAAUGCGAUGCAACGAAAACCAUGCAGGGUGACAUGGUGAUGGCCUCUGUUGAAGAAGUUUGUGACUGCGUGCCAGAGAAGCGUUCCACACAGCUGAGGCGUGAGGCCGCCAUUGUCCCGAUGAGUGAACGGAGACUCGUCCUUCAUCCGGAGCGCGCUCCACUUCAAGCUGCUUGACAGAGAACAUUCACGCCGCUGAUGAGACCUCGGACACGUCACCAGCUCCAGGACAAACGCUGAGUAUCUGACCCUGAGCCCCGAUUUGACCAUGAAGUGUGGAGCACAAAGAAACAGGCCACGAGGAUCGGAGAGGAAAGACAGCGUCUGUUUGUGUUUAUUCCGCAGGUUGAUGAUGAUGCAAAAAGCAACACAAUGUUGUUACAUCUUCCUAGAAGUUGUUGUGAUUCCCUGUUUGUCGUUGUGUUGUGCCCUUCAGGGCCACCACAGCAGACUUCAGUAAACCGCUUUAACAUAAUUCCAUCGACUGUUUUGAACGACACAGACAAAUAACGUUGCCCUGCCAAUAGUAGCAUCAAACAAUAAAAUGCAGUUUAAUAUGAUCUAAAUCAUGUUUAACUGCAGCUCUCACCCGGACACACACACGUGCAUUUACUCUGUCUGGUUUUUAUUUCCACUGCAAACGUCUUUUCAUAAAUGUUGCACAGUAAAAACAAACAGGACGUUGCAGCGGAUCUCUAACGUCUCUCGAAGGGGAAAAUAAAACCAGCAGAGCGUUAUGUCGGCUGCUUUAACUGGGAAUAAUAUUUUCAUAAGAAACAUUUCUCUGACUCCCCCCCCCG